rnacentral:rRNA from 1 species
AGUGAACGCUGGCGGUAGGCCUAACACAUGCAAGUCGAACGGCCGCACAGUAAGAGCUUGCUCUUACGGGUGGCGAGUGGCGGACGGGUGACGAAUACAUCGGAAUCUACUUUUUCGUGGGGGAUAACGUAGGGAAACUUACGCUAAUACCGCAUACGACCUACGGGUGAAAGCAGUGGAUCUUCGGACCUUGCGCGAUUGAAUGAGCCGAUGUCGGAUUAGCUAGUUGGCGAGGUAAAGGCCCACCAAGGCGACGAUCCGUAGCUGGUCUGAGAGGAUGAUCAGCCACACUGGAACUGAGACACGGUCCAGACUCCUACGGGAGGCAGCAGUGGGGAAUAUUGGACAAUGGGCGCAAGCCUGAUCCAGCCAUACCGCGUGGGUGAAGAAGGCCUUCGGGUUGUAAAGCCCUUUUGUUGGGAAAGAAAAGCAGCAGGUUAAAACCCCGCUGUUCUGACGGUACCCAAAGAAUAAGCACCGGCUAACUUCGUG